CUCCUGGAUGCUGCUAGUAUGCAAGCUGUUCAACAUGAAGAUUCAACAUUCAGCAUUUGGAGAUUACUAAGAAAUUUCCAAUUUCUGAACUUAAAGGGAAGACUUGUAGCUCACUCAGUUUAACUGCACUGGUUACCUAGCUAAUACAAGCCACAAGACUUCAGUUCAUUGGGAUCAGACCUCUUCUGAAGAACAUGACAAAUGUGUUGACCAUACCUGAUUACGCCUGUUCUCAAGCAAAGAUGUCUCAUACAAUUGAGCGUUGUGAAGAACAAUUCCACAAAAUGCCAAAUAUGCGGCAAAAUCCUGAAGACAAAUGAAGACCAACACCUCAUGAAGAUAAUGUUUCACAGCAUGCUAACUCUAUUCAAAAGAUAAGCUACUACAAUUUUUUGUUUUCACUUUGAAGUAUUAAUUGAUAUUUUUAAGUUAUCUUUGGUAACUACACAUUUAGGUUUGGGUUUUCUUCAGUUACUGAUAAUUUGUUAUUAUUCCCUCAAGAAUCUCUUCUCCCUUUUUUAAACUAAUGAGAGUUAAGUCAACAUCAUCAGCCUGAGUGCAGCCUGUUUUUUGCUAUACCAAUCCAAAUGUGAAGUCUGGAAGUAUUUGGAAAGCAACAGCAGUGUGAGAAUUAGGAAUCAAGGUGCUGUCUGCUCUACUGAUUAUCUCAUAUAUUGUUCAUAAUUUAUCCAAAGCUUUUUCUCAUUGUGCAAUUGCUAUAUUGAGAAGUGAUACAGUAUUUAAGAAAUAAUCACUACAUAAAUUUUAAUAUUCAAAAUACAUUUGUUGGGGAUACAGGGAGAGUUAGAACCAAUUAAUAAAAAAUUAUAUCUAUUAACAGUUAUGAAACCAUUUUACAAUGCAUUUCAGUAGAGUAAGCCUGUGUUUCAGAGAUGUAUGAGAGAUACCAUGCUGACCCAGAAAUUAAACUAUUUCACAUCCACCUUUCUCAUGGCCUCAUAAAGAAAGAAAUUUGCAGUAUUACCAGGAAAUCUGACUUUUUCAGAUGUAUUUAAUUUUUAAUAACUUUCAAAUUUCUGAUCAUCACAAAAAGUAAUAACAUAUCCAUCCCCUGUUCCCCUAUGAAAAUAGAAGAGACAUAAAUGUCCAGCUUUUAUACCUUUUCAUCUUGUUCAGUGAAAGUGCCACCAAUUCCAGAUUUCUUAUUGAUUGCUUGAGCCACACCAACAACCUAGUGCAUUCAAAAUGGAGUCAUUAGAUAAUUUUUAGGAAUCUGUUAUUGGAUUCUAUUUCUGAACAUAUUUAUAGAAGAUAAUGAAUGAUAAUUACAGGUAUUCAUUUGGUUGACCUUUAGAUAACAGAAGAUAUUUAAGCCUGUUUUUUCCUAAUUUGUUCAUAUUACAGAUAGCUGAGCAUGAACCUGAAAUAUCCUAAAAUAUAAGUAGCAUGAGUCCUGGAUGCUCUUAUGAAGAGGGGUUGAUAUGAUCCAAAAUUAUUUCUAUGAAUUGGAACAAUCACCUCCCAGAAAGACAACAACAGUUUUCCCCUCUGCAGUCAUAAGCCAGACCACACAACAGCUCUCUCUGAAGUUCAUCUGUCUGUGUGUGUAGAAAAAACCCUUCCUGCUAGCUCUGACGAAAUUUCCAAAAUGCAGCCUCCUCACCGGAUCUAGAAUUUGGCCACAGUAAUCUUUUUGCAUUUUGUAUCUCUCUGAAUCUGACCGGAUUAAUUUUCAUAUGCUGAAAAAUAGUAUACAAAGGUUGUGUUCCUGCCAGACUCGAGUUUGUUACUCAAACUUAGUAUGGAAUCUGUGUAACAAUAAACCAAGCCAGAUUACACAUCUAAUUUUAUUCUUAUAAAGUUCUGUCUAAAUUAUGUUAAAUUUCAGAUGAUGGUUUUUUAGUACAGAAAUAAUCUGUGGUAAAAUUUGAUUUCAAGUUUCUGGACAUAAUUCCAGAAUUGACAGACUAAAACAUGAUUUCUUACAAAAUAGAAAAUGGUCCCUUUAAGGACAGUCAGUUAAAGUCCAAGCUACUGGUGCUUUUGUAACUUUCUACAUAGAGGAUAGUUAGCCAAUAAACAUAAUUUCUCGAUACAGGAUGUUGGUUUAGAUUUAAAAAAAAAAAAAAGUAAAAUGAAUGUGAGAGAACAACACAGCUGUUUAAGCAUGAUGCUUUUGUUACUGCCACUCUUUGUGGAGUUUGCGUACUCCCAGGAAACCAAUCUGCCCUGCAAACAGCAGAAGUCCUUACAAAAAUGAAAGUGGAAUUCAGAUCUUUGCUUAGUAUUGAUUCCAGUUUCUAAUGCAGGCUCUGACUCUGACAUUUGGAAAGAAAUGAAAUUGGGUGGUUGCAUUGGACUUACUCUUACAUAUUCAACAUAGAUGUCUUCUCUGGUAACUUGGGUCUGUUUUUCAGAUUCCAAGGAAAACAAGAGAAUUUAAAAAGACCUUCAUACAAGUCAGUAUGAAGAGAAAGUGGGUAUUUCUUUAAAAAAUUAAUUCACUGGGAUAGUAUUUCUGUAGAUUCCGCACUGCAGUUAUUCAAGCUGUGUACUGGCAGUUACCAUUCUGUCCCGUAAACUAGUUCAAAUUUCUUCUGGAUUCUGUGCUUAUCAUUGUACUUCCAGGCUUCUGCUCUUCUGAGUCGUAAAUUAACCACAUAUUUUCACACCACAAUAAAAUUGGAAGGCUUUCAGAAGGAGAGGUUAAUUUUAGUUGAGAUACUUCUGACUUUCACUGUUGAUAAGGUGAAAAUGAGAGGUUUUCUAAUUCAAAUAUUUUGUCAUUCCAUUAAAAAAAGGUUAUUUAUUUGUAUUAUUAUAUUGCACAUUACUAAUACACAGUCUUGUUUGCUAUUAAAUCAAAUUGUUACUAUAAAAAAUGUUUCUCUCUGAUGCAUAAACAUUUCCUAGAUUAUAGGAUUUCAAGGCCUUAGCCUUUCCCUAAUAUAAUUCAGUAUGUUUCCACUCCUUUUGAGACUUUGCAAAUUAUUACUAAUCUGAUUUUAGGCUUAAAAGAAUUGGAAAAAGUACAGUUUCCUUGACCUGUGAAGUAAAAAACAAAUGUCCUGACUGUUAGUGAGUAAUGACUGGUUUCUGUAAUUGAUGUCAAGAGUAGGAGCUAUAAGGUGGUGAACCCAAUGCUGUUUAUCAGGAUGGAUGAGAAAGGCACCAAAGUAGAUGACCUUCUGAGGAGGGUGCCAAGUGGAGGGUAGGGACACUGAUGUCUGAGCCAUUACUUAUAUUGGUACCCAGAAAUGAAGUCCACAGUCAGCUGUCAAGCUGAAUAGCCACUGGCAGCUCCUGGAAUGGAUUUAGAUUAAAGCAGAGCUUAAGGAGAGGAGUAGCACCAGAGCAACAGGGAGGAGAGGGAGGCUGGAAACUGGGAGGAGCUGGAAGUCACUCACUAAAAACCUGCACUUCCUUAAAGUUAGACCGUUCAUCUAUUUAAAUGGCUAGAUCUUAUCUUCUGCUAAACUCAAUAAAUCUGCUGUGCAGUAAACUCAGAGGCUAGAAUGUGCUAGUACAGAUGAAGCCCACCUAGCUGAGUACGGUAACGUGAAAGAGUGUGUGGUAAGAAGCCAUAAAGUAUAUGUAAAGCUUUUGAUUCUUUUCAUAUUUUUUGGCACAUUUACAACAAAUUAUUGACAAAGCUGCAAAGAACUUCCUGUGUUUGAGAUCCAAAUAGUGUAAGACCAGUACAAGGUGUUAAUGAUGGUAUUUUUUUCAUCUUGCUUUUUGGGGAUGAACAAUAUCAGAAGAAAACUGUGUAGUGUGCAUGUUUAAAAAGUUCUACUUAACUAUUAAUAAUUAAAUUUAUAAUUGCUAAACUGAUGGAAGGCAUACAGUUUUAUUUUUGUAAUGGAAGACAAUUUACUAUCUCUCAGCCUAGCCUUCCUAAAAUACUGAUGUUACAAAUAAGGUCAUUGUUCUGCAGCAUGAAUCCCUGCCAACUGUGGGCUCAAAAAUGUCUGUCUGAAAUAAAGCUUAACUGUCAGCUCCAUUCCAUACAACCCAGUUUUUCCCACAGUCAACCUCUCAUUUACUUCAGUGAGGGAUGUUUCUUAUCCAGUGAACUUUCUUACUUUAACAACAAUGUACAACUAGUUUUAUAUACUUCUAUAGCAGACUUUGAGUAGUAAGCAAAUCCUUUAACCAGUCAAUAUGCUUUUAUGUUAACCUACAUGUGCAGAGAUUAAUGGUUAGGCCUUUUCUCAUACCACUGUCUUCUGUGGGUAUUUAUUUUUUUUUUUUUUUCAGUUUUCAUCCAGCAUGAGCUAAGACAACUUUAAUGAGGUCAGAGGCUUUUUAAGGCAUCCAAAAGCAGACCACAGGAAUCUCAAGAGUGAAGCUGAAUGAAACCAUGGAAAUUAGUCAGUAAGGACAAAAAUUCCCCACCAACAUUCCAUGCAAGACAGCAGAGAAGAGUUUUGAGACAAAUGCAAUGUUUCCAUCACUUCAAAAACAACACAGAAUUGUUGCCAAGCAAGAAUUCAAAGUCAACAGUUUUUCUGCAAAACCCUCUCUAAAUGCAGAGGCAUCGCCAUCAUAGAGACAUGACUGAAUUGUAUUUUGUGAACUACUGCCUAUUUCAGAUCCGCACAAACACAAAACUGUGUCUCAGCAUUAAAAAAAACACCAAAAAUGCACGACUAACCAAACCUCUCCAUGGGGAAAACGGUUACUAUUGAUUAGCAUUCCUAUUUGUUCAAUACUACUUCCAGUUUCCAAAGGAAGUGUGACAGGCUGAACUAAUAAAAUCCUACUUCUCAAAGCCGCUAACACCCUAUUUCCUGGGCAAACAAGCUACCCUUCAGUUACGUACCAUGCACUAGUGUUCUGGAGAAUAUCAAGGUUAACUACCUCCAUCUAUGCAUCCUACACCUAUGCACAGCCUUUUUAAAAAAAAAAAAUCAACAUUUAAAAGACAUUUUUAAAGGCAUUUUUAUUAAUUUUCUUUAAAUGAGCCUAAGAAAGAAGCAGCAGAAGAAAGAGGACUGCAUGACAGAUGGUCACAAGAAAGCAGGUGACCCCUGAAGCUUUCUAGCUUGCUGCGAGUCAAUUAUUAAUGGGGAUUUCUCU